rnacentral:lncRNA from 1 species
UCACCUGACCUGGAGAGUUCAAAGUGCCUAACACAGGGACGCUGGUACCCACAAGCCUGGAUCCUGGCGUGCUCUGCUGCUUUCCUUCAAGCCCUGGCCUCAUCAGACCUCCAAGGCUCCCUAGACAGGGUUAAUUAUUCACGUGGCCCGGGACCCAGGGUUCGUUUGUUUGUUUUUCCCGACACAGUAGAGUCCACGAGGAAGUCAGGAUCCACCGGCAAUAUUUGCAGUGUUAUGUUGAAUGUGGCAACUGGCUGCGUGACGAUAGAGAAGUAAACAGCAUGUCCGGUGGCAGUCGGUUACCACACAGAAUUUAGGAGGCCCAGUGAAAUGCGAAUGCUAGGUCCCCCUCCCCUCUGGGUGCCUGGAUGCCAGCACCCUGUUCCGCCCGCCCAGCAUGCAGACCAAAAGCACAACGCACAGAAACACAGCCGGUGCCCAGCAUGCAGACCAAAAGCACAACGCACAGAAACACAGCCGGUGCGCGCAGGGCGGCAGGCUGGCUUCUCCCUCCCUCCUGCCGAGGUCUCCGCCCCCUUCCCCCUUCCCUCCUUCCCUCCCCUCUCCUCUUCUAUUAGAAAAUGGGAGUGUUAGGGUUGAAUUG